AGUGAACGCUGGCGGUAGGCCUAACACAUGCAAGUCGAACGGCAGCACAGGAGAGCUUGCUCUCUGGGUGGCGAGUGGCGGACGGGUGAGGAAUACAUCGGAAUCUACUUUUUCGUGGGGGAUAACGUAGGGAAACUUACGCUAAUACCGCAUACGACCUACGGGUGAAAGCAGGGGAUCUUCGGACCUUGCGCGAUUGAAUGAGCCGAUGUCGGAUGAGCUAGUUGGCGGGGUAGAGGCCCACCAAGGCGACGAUCCGUAGCUGGUCUGAGAGGAUGAUCAGCCACACUGGAACUGAGACACGGUCCAGACUCCCACGGGAGGCAGCAGUGGGGAAUAUUGGACAAUGGGCGCAAGCCUGAUCCAGCCAUACCGCGUGGGUGAAGAAGGCCUUUGGGUUGUAAAGCCCUUUUGUUGGGAAGGAAAUCCAGCUGGCUAAUACCCGGUUGGGAUGACGGUACCCAAAGAAUAAGCACGGGCUAACUUCGUGCCAGCCGCCGCAGUAA
rnacentral:rRNA from 1 species